UCUUCGGAUGGGAGUGGCAGACGGGUGAGUAACACGUGGGAACGUACCCUUCGGUUCGGAACAACUCUGGGAAACUGGAGCUAAUACCGGAUACGCCCUUUUGGGGAAAGGUUUACUGCCGAAGGAUCGGCCCGCGUCUGAUUAGCUAGUUGGUGGGGUAACGGCCUACCAAGGCGACGAUCAGUAGCUGGUCUGAGAGGAUGAUCAGCCACAUUGGGACUGAGACACGGCCCAA
rnacentral:rRNA from 1 species